AUUGAACGCUGGCGGCAUGCCUUACACAUGCAAGUCGAACGGUAACGCGGGGCAACCUGGCGACGAGUGGCGAACGGGUGAGUAAUGUAUCGGAACGUGCCCAGUAGUGGGGGAUAGCCCGGCGAAAGCCGGAUUAAUACCGCAUACGACCUGAGGGUGAAAGCGGGGGAUCGCAAGACCUCGCGCUAUUGGAGCGGCCGAUAUCAGAUUAGCUAGUUGGUGGGGUAAAGGCCUACCAAGGCGACGAUCUGUAGCUGGUCUGAGAGGACGACCAGCCACACUGGGACUGAGACACGGCCCAGACUCCUACGGGAGGCAGCAGUGGGGAAUUUUGGACAAUGGGCGAAAGCCUGAUCCAGCCAUGCCGCGUGCGGGAAGAAGGCCUUCGGGUUGUAAACCGCUUUUGUCAGGGAAGAAAAGGCCCGAACUAAUACUUUGGGCUCAUGACGGUACCUGAAGAAUAAGCACCGGCUAACUACGUGCCGGCCGCCGCAGUAAGAC
rnacentral:rRNA from 1 species